AGAGUCAACGCUGGCGGCGUGCCUAACACAUGCAAGUCGAACGCGAAAGGGGAGCAAUCCCUGAUUAGAGUGGCAAACGGGUGAGUAACACGUGGGUGACCUGCCUUCGAGUGGGGGAUAACCUUCCGAAAGGAGGGCUAAUACCGCAUGACAUACCGUGUUUGGAUACACGAAUAUCAAAGCCGGGGAUCGCAAGACCUGGCGCUUGGAGAGGGGCCCGCGUCCGAUUAGCUAGUUGGUGGGUAACGGCUCACCAAGGCUCCGAUCGGUAU
rnacentral:rRNA from 1 species